rnacentral:rRNA from 1 species
AUGAGCACCUAUCAAAAAGUGUUUCGAACAAGUCCCUCCGCCCCCAUCUUCUUCCUCCGCCCGUCGCCUGCGCGUCGCCAGGGGCCGGCGCCGCCCAGCUGCGUGAUUCGCCAAGGGCCGGCGAGCCCAGCUGAGCUCCUCCGCCGUAGCCAAGUACCUGCUCUCACCUUCGCCAAGUACCUGCUCUCGCCGUCGUCGCCAAUUACCUCCUCUACCGCCGCAGCCCAGACCUGCGCUGACGGUCCCCUCCCGCUGCCUGUGGGUUUCGCCGGAAUCUCCUGCCGCGCGCGUCCCUCCUGGAACCCCCGUGCAUCCUCCUCAAGCUCGCGUGCGUCCUCCAUCGUGCUCCCGCGCAUCCUGCUGGAGCUCCCACGCGUGCGCCGCCGCGAUCCCCUACCGGCGUCGCCGGAGCCUGCCUCCACGAUCCAGUGGACCGGGAGCUCACGCGUGUGA